UACAAUAUGGCUCCUAACCUCUGU
rnacentral:siRNA from 1 species